rnacentral:rRNA from 1 species
GAUGAACGCUGGCGGCGUGCCUAAUACAUGCAAGUCGAGCGAACGGACGAGAAGCUUGCUUUUCUGAUGUUAGCGGCGGACGGGUGAGUAACACGUGAUAACCUACCUAUAAGACUGGGAUAACUCCGGGAAACCGGAGCUAAUACCGGAUAAUAUUUUGAACCGCAUGGUUCAAAAGUGAAAGACGGUCUUGCUGUCACUUAUAGAUUGAUCCGCGCUGCAUUAGCUAGUUGGUAAGGUAACGGCUUACCAAGGCAACGAUGCAUAGCCGACCUGAGAGGGUGAUCGGCCACACUGGAACUGAGACACGGUCCAGACUCCUACGGGAGGCAGCAGUAGGGAAUCUUCCGCAAUGGGCGAAAGCCUGACGGAGCAACGCCGCGUGAGUGAUGAAGGUCUUCGGAUCGUAAAACUCUGUUAUUAGGGAAGAACAUAUGUGUAAGUAACUGUGCACAUCUUGACGGUACCUAAUCAGAAAGCCACGGCUAACUACGUG